rnacentral:lncRNA from 1 species
CAGGCAACAUAAAGUAAAGGUCAAGAGAAUAUCCACCUAGAAAACAAUUGUUUACAGUAUUACUUAUGAAGGCCAUUCUGAUAAACAAAGAAAAUCUAGUGGACUUCGACUUAGUGGGUGUAUGGCGUUAAAAAAUAUGAAAUUUUUGGAAAAAGGUUGAAAAUGGUAUUUGGAGUUUGGAGUUGCGUUUGGACAUGAAUACAAGUUGGAGUUGUGUUUGAAUUUAGUGAGUGAUUUAGAGUGAAAAUUGUGAAAACAGCUUUUUGGAGUUCUUGGCAAUAUUGUCUCAAUUCUGUGUCCAAACAGUUUUCCUGAAUAUUUGAAAAAUAUCCAUGCCAAACGGGCAAUUAGAUUUCUGGACAUCCGACUUUGUUACAGGAAGGUUAAAAAGAGAUAUUAUCAAUAGCCAUGUCAAAAUUCACAAGAAUAGCUAAGAUCAAAUUCAGAACAUCAGUAGAUGGUAUCGAUACAGUUCUAUUACAAGGGAUAUCCACCUGAACUCAUUUAAUCAACCAUCAUAAGACAAAUAUAGAAACUUAAUAUUACCUGCAACAUCUUGAUUGUCAUAGGUAGCGCGAUAAACAGUAUGGAUCAAAAUAUAAACAACAAUAUCUAGUUAUCUAAAUAAAACAUACAAAGGAGUCCUAAAUUCCCAAUGAAACAUGCAGCAACCAAGAUCACAAGACAAGUAAAGAAACUAAUACUACCUGCAACAUCUUGAUUGUCAUAGGUACCGCAAUAAAGAGUAUGGAUCAACAUAUAAAAAACAAUAUCUAGUUAUCUAAAUAAAACAUACAAAGGAGUCCUAAAUUCCCAAUGAAACAUGCAGCAACCAAGAUCACAAGACAAGUAAAGAAACUAAUAUUACCUGCAACAACUUGAUUGUCAUAGGUACCGCAAUAAAGAGUAUGGAUCAACAUAUAAACAACAAUAUCUAGUUAUCUAAAUAAAAACAUACAAAGGAGUCCUAAAUUUCCAAUGAAACAUGCAGCAACCAAGAUCACAAGACAAGUAUAGAAACUAUUAUUACCUGCAACAUCUUGAUUGUCAUAGGUACCGCGAUAAACGGUACCAUAGGUACCCUUAGCUACAAGAUACUUUAUUUCCAGCUUCAAAGGAUCAAUCUCCCAUACUUCCUUAGGCCUUUGGUUGUUCUGUCUCUCUAAAUUGUUUGACCAAACGCGGCUCAAAUGCUUUUCCAAU